rnacentral:rRNA from 1 species
AGCUAGUUGGUGAGGUAAAGGCCCACCAAGGCGAUGAUGGGUAGCCGGCCUGAGAGGGUGUACGGCCACACUGGGACUGAGAUACGGCCCAGACUCCUACGGGAGGCAGCAGCUAAGAAUAUUCCGCAAUGGACGGAAGUCUGACGGAGCGACGCCGCGUGGAUGAAGAAGGCCGAAAGGUUGUAAAGUUCUUUUGCUAGGGGAGAAUAAGUGUGGGAGGGAAUGCCUGCACGAUGACAAGGACUAGCGAAUAAGUCCCGGCCAACUACGUGCCAGCAGCCGCGGUAACACGUAGGGGGCGAGCGUUGUUCGGAAUUACUGGGCGUAAAGGGCAUGUAGGCGGCUUGGUAAGCCUGGCGUGAAAGUCUGCAGCUUAACUGUAGGGAUGCGUUGGGAACUGCUUAGCUUGAGUUACGGAGAGGGAGCUGGAAUUCCUGGUGUAGGGGUGAAAUCUGUAGAUAUCAGGAAGAACACCGAUGGCGAAGGCAAGCUUCUGGCCGACAACUGACGCUGAGGUGCGAAAGUGUGGGGAUCAAACAGGAUUAGAUACCCUGGUAGUCCACACAGUAAACGAUGUGCACGAGGUGCUGGGGCGGUAGUUUCAGUGCCGGAGCGAACGCGGUAAGUGC